GAGUGAUGGCAUCCAGCGGCCAACGGGGAUUUGCUGCCUCGAAGGCACGCAUGUGUGCGAUUCAGGGCUACACAAGCACGACUCCCGGAUUUACUUCCUUCCUGUCCCACAGAGUUAUUGAAGGGAGUGAGUUAUGGGGUAAUUUAUAACACCGCAGGCCCUCCCUCAAGACAGCCCUCUUCAAAACAGGAAGAUAAAACUCAGGUUUCAACAAGGAGACCACAGCUUGGGAUGCCUACUGGAUGUACCUCUUAACGACAAGCAGAAAAGUUCUUCAUACUUGCCCAUCUCCAACCCCUGUGCCCCCCAAAAGACGUCUGCUCAAAGGUGGAUCUAUCCAGGGCAGCCCCUUCCAUUCUUCACUGAGUUCAAGCCGUGGCUGUGGCUGCUCUGACUUCUUCAGCCUCAGACUUGCUGUCAGCAUUGCCCAAUGAAGGUGCUUUUUGUAGACUCUGGGAGACCUGGCUUGAUUUGUCUGAAUGGCAAGCGGCUUUCCUCCUGGCUCUUCUGUGAACAUCGAGAACACACGCAUCUUCUAGAAAACAUCUUACGGAUAAUGCCAGAUGCCUCAACAUACAGGCUGGAAACCAGAGAGCGAGUGAGAAGAGUCAGAAACCAAGGCAAGCAAUGUCUUCAAUGAGAAAAGCCGAAGCCGACAUUGGACGGGGAGAGUGGUCCUGAUGCUGAGAUGCUCUUAGGGAGAACCGCAGUGGCUGUGACGUAGUUGGAGAGAAGGUGUCUGGACACAGAAGCCGUUAUCCUGUUUUAGUGCCCGAGGGCAUGCACAUUUCUACAACCUUGGGUAUCAUCAGCACAGGAAGCGGAGCAUAUGCUUAAAUAUGGAUUUCCUUUGCUAUUUGGAGAUCCUUUCCCUGGUUUGCUGUUUCGGUGGGCUGCCACUGCUUUGGUUGCUUUAGAUGGGGUAUCUCUUGCCGUGGAUCUUACAGCUCCAAGCCUGGUGGCACCCGGUCAGGAUGAGAACAAGGAGAAGACCCCUCCUGAGGAUUUUCAAGUUCUGGCUGUCUGGGUCCUCCAUAAUUCUCCCUCCUUCUGGAACACCAGACCCCAGGUUGAGCUCAGCUUCUUAGUGGAGAAACAGGACAUAGAAUGAAUGCUAGAACUUCAUCGAGAAGGCUGUCUUAGUUACAUUUCCAUUGGUGAUAAAGUGCCAUGGCCAAGGCAGCUUACAAAAGAAGGGUCUUAAUUUGGCUUAUGGUUUCAGAGGGUUAGAGUUCAUGUUGGUGCAGUGAAGAUAUAGCUGAGUGCUUACAUCUUGAUCUACAACUGAGAGAGACAGAGAGAAAGAGAGAGAGA